GACGAACGCUGGCGGCGUGCUUAACACAUGCAAGUCGAACGAUGAAGGGGAGCUUGCUUCCUGGAUUAGUGGCGAACGGGUGAGUAACACGUGAGUAACCUGCCCUGGACUCUGGGAUAAGCGUUGGAAACGACGUCUAAUACCGGAUAGGACCUUUCACCGCAUGGUGGGGGGUGGAAAGAUUUUUUGGUUUGGGAUGGACUCGCGGCCUAUCAGCUUGUUGGUGAGGUAAUGGCUCACCAAGGCGUCGACGGGUAGCCGGCCUGAGAGGGUGACCGGCCACACUGGGACUGAGACACGGCCCAGACUCCUACGGGAGGCAGCAGUGGGGAAUAUUGCACAAUGGGCGGAAGCCUGAUGCAGCAACGCCGCGUGCGGGAUGACGGCCUUCGGGUUGUAAACCGCUUUUAGUAAGGAAGAAGCCUUUCGGGGUGACGGUACUUGCAGAAAAAGGACCGGCUAACUACGUGCCAGCAGCCGC
rnacentral:rRNA from 1 species